ACGGAAGGCAGCAGUGGGGAAUAUUGCACAAUGGGCGAAAGCCUGAUGCAGCGACGCCGCGUGAGUGAAGAAGUAUUUCGGUAUGUAAAGCUCUAUCAGCAGGAAAGAAAAUGACGGUACCUGAUUAAGAAGCCCCGGCUAACUACGUGCCAGCAGCCGCGGUAAUACGUAGGGGGCAAGCGUUAUCCGGAUUUACUGGGUGUAAAGGGAGCGUAGACGGUUGUGCAAGUCUGAAGUGAAAUGCCGGGGCUCAACCCCGGAACUGCUUUGGAAACUGUAAAACUGGAGUGCAGGAGAGGUAAGUGGAAUUCCUAGUGUAGCGGUGAAAUGCGUAGAUAUUAGGAGGAACACCAGUGGCGAAGGCGGCUUACUGGACUGUAACUGACGUUGAGGCUCGAAAGCGUGGGGAGCAAACAGGAUUAGAUACCCUGGUA
rnacentral:rRNA from 1 species